rnacentral:rRNA from 1 species
UGGCGGUAUGCUUACACAUGCAAGUCGAACGGUCUUUUCGGAGACAGUGGCGGACGGGUGAGUAACGCGUAAGAAUCUACCCUCAGGUCGGGGACAACCACUGGAAACGGUGGCUAAUACCGGAUGUGCCGAGAGGUGAAAGGCUUGCUGCCUGGGGAAGAGCUUGCGUCUGAUUAGCUAGUUGGUAGUGUAAGGGACUACCAAGGCGACGAUCAGUAGCUGGUCUGAGGGGAUGAUCAGCCACACUGGGACUGAGACACGGCCCAGACUCCUACGGGAGGCAGCAGUGGGGAAUUUUCCGCAAUGGGCGAAAGCCUGACGGAGCAAUACCGCGUGAGGGAGGAAGGCUCUUGGGUUGUAAACCUCUUUUCUCAGGGAAGAAAAAAAUGACGGUACCUGAGGAAUAAGCAUCGGCUAACUCCGUGCCAGCAGCCGCGGUAAUACGGAGGAUGCAAGCGUUAUCCGGAAUGAUUGGGCGUAAAGGGUCCGCAGGUGGCAUUGUAAGUCUGCUGUUAAAGAGUCUAGCUCAACUAGAUAAAAGCAGUGGAAACUACAAAGCUAGAGUUUGGUCGGGGCAGAAGGAAUUCCUGGUGUAGCGGUGAAAUGCGUAGAUAUCAGGAAGAACACCAGUGGCGAAGGCGUUCUGCUAGGCCGAGACUGACACUGAGGGGACGAAAGCUAGGGGGAGCGAAUGGGGAUUAGAUACCCCAGUAGUCCUAGCCGUAAACGAUGGAUACUAGGCGUAGCUCGUAUCGACCCGA